UCUAAUAUGGCAGAUUAGUGCAAUGAAUUUAAGCUUCAUAUAUAAAGAUUAUAUCUUUUGUUAGAA
rnacentral:tRNA from 2 species